rnacentral:rRNA from 2 species
UCCAUUGCGUACUGCUAGUAGGUAGUCGAGCGCUGGAUUAGGAGCUUGCUCUGAUGGAGUUAGCGGGGACGGGUGAGUGACACGUGGGUAACCUGCCCAUAAGACUGGGAUAACUCCGGGAAACCGGGGCUAAUACCGGAUAACAUUUUGAACCGCAUGGUUCGAAAUUGAAAGGCGGCUUCGGCUGUCACUUAUGGAUGGACCCGCGUCGCAUUAGCUAGUUGGUGAGGUAACGGCUCACCAAGGCAACGAUGCGUAGCCGACCUGAGAGGGUGAUCGGCCACACUGGGACUGAGACACGGCCCAGACUCCUACGGGAGGCAGCAGUAGGGAAUCUUCCGCAAUGGACGAAAGUCUGACGGAGCAACGCCGCGUGAGUGAUGAAGGCUUUCGGGUCGUAAAACUCUGUUGUUAGGGAAGAACAAGUGCUAGUUGAAUAAGCUGGCACCUUGACGGUACCUAACCAGAAAGCCACGGGUAAGUACGUGCCAGCAGCCGCGGUAAUACGUAGGUGG